rnacentral:misc_RNA from 1 species
AAAAAUUACCACAAAAUUCUUCAGUAUAUAUAUUAACUUAAUUAACACGAGAAGUUAAUUACUUUACAAAAUUCUAUACGAGUAAAUUAAAGAAGGGUAACAGCUAGGAUCUUUUCAAAUUCACUACAACAUCCCAAGUUGUAUGGUGAUCAUGAACAAAUCAACUAUAAUUUAAGCUCAAGCUGUUUCGAUGAUUGGCCUUCUACUUCUAGGUCAAUAAUAAUGGGAUUGCUUUCUUCAUAUGGUCUAGGACGAGCAGGUGAUGAGGGGUUGUUUAAUUGAUAUGGUGCCUUUGAUGCUACCCUAUCUUUCCUCUUCUCAAAGAACCGAUGCAGUGAAGCUCUUCUAGCAAUUGGCAAAUCUGCAAGAACACAAGAACAAAAAAAAAGUCGUUACAAAGGAAAAAAAAAUUAUACAGUUUCAAGACCUUACAGACUAGAGACGACUGCAAUAUCACACUGAAAUCUAAUUUAAUGAACAAGUAAUGUUAAAUUUAUAUAUAUUUAGAGCAGGGUAUAGAAAUAUCAACCUGAACCAUUAGCCUGAGUUUGCAAUCGAAGUCCUUCUCGAGCAUUAUUAUUGGAGGCAAUGGAAUUAGUUUUAUCCAUGGCAGAAGUAGAAGCAGUCGUAGUAAAGCCGUUUUUAGAAUUGGAGGUUCCUUUGCUUGCUAAAGCCAUGAUCUCCUUUGCCUUAUCAGCAGGAAAAUCGUCAUACACUAUCACCUGGCCCGCGUAAAAUAUUGUCAGUUGGGCAGUUCCAGGUUCUUCUCUGGAGGAUUUCCUCAAAUCUGCAGGCUUGUUAGCAAUGGAGUCCUCCUCGAUAGGAUUUGGAGAAGCAAAACCAACAAAUUGUGGGAAAAAAUCCAUGGGUUUUAUAUUUGCAGAUAGCACAGAGUUUUGCCUUGAAAUCUCAGCAGAAAUUUCAAUGUUAGACAGUAGAUUCAAUGUUGUUGUUGGUGGCCUAGAUGCUUCAGGACCUUUAGCUUCAAGCUUUCCAUUAAUUCCGAGGCUAAGAUCUCUAAAGCUUCCUCUUUCCUUCAAAUACUGGCUCAGAAGAUUGCAUGUCUGAGCAAAAUUAGAUUUCUCCGGUGCUGCCUUGCCGGAUGACUUAUUCUGGACCAAGUUCGCCAUAUCGCUCAGAAUUAUUUUUCUCAUAGAUCUUGAGAGAACUGAAAAGUAUACGUAAUUUUGUUGAUGAGAAAGUUGAUUUCAGUGAAGUUUUCUUGGGAAUGGAAAUGAAGAAACAAUGGAUGGUGGCUGUUAGCUUAGGACAGGGAAGAAUAUAUAUGAGGGAGUUGGGUUCUUCAGAGCAUGUUCUUUGAACCUGAUUAGUCCACGAGCUGUAGCAGACUAGCCG